rnacentral:rRNA from 1 species
GAUGAACGCUGGCGGCGUGCCUAAUACACGCAAGUCGAGCGAACAGACGAGGAGCUUGCUCCUCUGACGUUAGCGGCGGACGGGUGAGUAACACGUGGAUAACCUACCUAUAAGACUGGGAUAACUUCGGGAAACCGGAGCUAAUACCGGAUAAUAUAUUGAACCGCAUGGUUCAAUAGUGAAAGACGGCUUUGCUGUCACUUAUAGAUGGAUCCGCGCCGCAUUAGCUAGUUGGUAAGGUAACGGCUUACCAAGGCAACGAUGCGUAGCCGACCUGAGAGGGUGAUCGGCCACACUGGAACUGAGACACGGUCCAGACUCCUACGGGAGGCAGCAGUAGGGAAUCUUCCGCAAUGGGCGAAAGCCUGACGGAGCAACGCCGCGUGAGUGAUGAAGGUCUUCGGAUCGUAAAACUCUGUUAUUAGGGAAGAACAAAUGUGUAAGUAACUAUGCACGUCUUGACGGUACCUAAUCAGAAAGCCACGGCUAACUACGUG